rnacentral:tRNA from 1 species
GCCUGGGUGGCUCAGUCAGUUGGGCAUCAGACUUUGGCUCAGGUCAUGAUCUCAUGGCUUGUGGGUUCAAGCCCCAUAUCGGGCU